rnacentral:sRNA from 1 species
CUGAGAUUGGGAUUGGUGGUGCUUCUCUGUGACGAUUUCGAAGCCUUAUUCCCGGUAUUUACUCGCAGAAUCCUUUCCGAUUGCUUUCUAUUCAAGUACUGGCUGAGAACCAUGCGAUUAGUGCUUUGAAACAAAAUCAAUAUUAGAUAUUGUUUUAUCACUUUCACUCAUUUUCGCUGGUAGAUUAUUGUUGUCCCGGGCUGUGUUUCUGUCGCUAAACGCUCCUCUCUUUUAAUAUUAAAUUUCUUCUUUUUGUCUUUCGGUUUCUUGCCUUAAUUGGGUCGCUCAUGUUUCGUUAUCAGAUUAUCUGAUGAGUAUGACAGAGCUGGCUUCCCACAUCCAAAUUGUGUACCUGUCAUCCUUUCUUCUCUUUUCUUUAUGCUUUGACUUGUAGUUUUUAUACGGAGCGACCGCUGUUAUUAAUAAUUAGUU